rnacentral:rRNA from 1 species
UGGGAAUUUUGCACAAUGGGGGAAACCCUGAUGCAGCGACGCCGCGUGAUUUAGAAGGCCUUCGGGUUGUAAAAAUCUUUUUUACGGGAUGAAAAUGACAGUACCGUAAGAAUAAGGUCCGGCUAAAUACGUGCCAGCAGCCGCGGUAAUACGUAUGGACCGAGCGUUGUCCGGAAUCAUUGGGCGUAAAGGGUACGUAGGCGGCCUAGUAAGUUAGAAGUGAAAUAAUAUAGCUCAACUAUAUAAAGCUUUUAAAACUGCUAGGCUUGAGAGAUGGAAGGGAAAGUGGAAUUCCUAGUGUAGCGGUGAAAUGCGCAGAUAUUAGGAAGAAUACCGGUGGCGAAGGCGACUUUCUGGUCAUCAUCUGACGCUGAGGUACGAAAGCGUGGGUAGCAAACAGG